rnacentral:rRNA from 1 species
UACAGCGGGGGCAAGCGUUGUUCGGAAUUACUGGGCGUAAAGGGCGCGUAGGCGGCCUGUUAAGUCGAACGUGAAAUCCCCGGGCUCAACCCGGGAACUGCGUCCGAUACUGGCAGGCUUGAAUCCGGGAGAGGGAUGCGGAAUUCCAGGUGUAGCGGUGAAAUGCGUAGAUAUCUGGAGGAACACCGGUGGCGAAGGCGGCAUCCUGGACCGGUAUUGACGCUGAGGCGCGAAAGCCAGGGGAGCAAACGGG